UAUUAGCUCAGUUGGUUA
rnacentral:siRNA from 1 species